GAUCAAGUGUCUUAAGGGCAAUUGGUGGAUGCCUUGGCAUGCACAGGCGAUGAAGGACGUGAUACGCUGCGAUAAGCUACGGGGAGGUGCGAAUACCCUUUGAUCCGUAGAUUUCCGAAUGGGGAAACCCACCUAAGGUGCUUGGAAAAUCAGAGCAGCAGGUAAUUGGCGCGAGAUCCCAAAAGGAUUGAGCGUUAAGCGACGAUCUCUUUGAGAUCGCGCAGACUUGCUGCUGUGGUUUCCAAGUAUCUGUUAUAGGUAACUUAUCCUGAAUACAUAGGGAUAAAGUGGCGAACGCGGGGAACUGAAACAUCUAAGUACCCGUAGGAAAGGACAUCAACCGAGACUCCGGCAGUAGUGGCGAGCGAACCCGGACCAGGCCAGUGGCGAUGAUGAGACAAGCGGAACCUUCUGGAAAGUAGGGCCAUAGUGGGUGACAGCCCCGUACGCGUAAUGCGAAUCAUCGUCCUCGAGUAAGGCGGGACACGUGAAAUCCUGUCUGAAAUUGGGGGGACCACCCUCCAAGCCUAAGUACUCGUGCAUGACCGAUAGCGAACUAGUACCGUGAGGGAAAGGUGAAAAGCACCCCGACAAGGGGAGUGAAAGAGUACCUGAAACCGAUUGCCUACAAACAGUGGGAGUCCAAGGUUCGUCCUGGGUGACCACGUACCUUUUGUAUAAUGGGUCAGCGACUUAGUGUGACGAGCAAGCUUAAACCGCUAGGUGUAGGCGCAGCGAAAGCGAGUCUGAACAGGGCGUUCAGUUCGUCGCAUUAGACCCGAAACCGAGUGAUCUAGCCAUGAGCAGGUUGAAGGUAAGGUAACACUUACUGGAGGACCGAACCCAUAACUGUUGCAAUAGUUCGGGAUGACUUGUGGCUAGGGGUGAAAGGCCAAUCAAACUCGGAAAUAGCUGGUUCUCCGCGAAAUCUAUUUAGGUAGAGCGUCGACCGAAUACCCCAGGGGGUAGAGCACUGGAUGGGCUAGGGGUCCUCACCGGAUUACCAAACCUAACCAAACUCCGAAUACCUGGGAGUACUAGUCGGCAGACACACGGCGGGUGCUAACGUCCGUCGUGAAAAGGGAAACAACCCUGACCUACAGCUAAGGUCCCCAAGUUAUGGCUAAGUGGGAAAGGAUGUGAGGAUCCCAAAACAACCAGGAUGUUGGCUUAGAAGCAGCCAUCAUUUAAAGAAAGCGUAACAGCUCACUGGUCUAAAUAAGGGUCUUUGCGCCGAAAAUGUAACGGGGCUCAAGCCAUACACCGAAGCUUAGGGUUCGUGAGCAAUCACGAGCGGUAGCGGAGCGUUCUGUAAGCUGAUGAAGCCAUACCCGUGAGGGGUGGUGGAGGUAUCAGAAGUGCGAAUGCUGACAUGAGUAACGUAAGGGGAGUGAGAGACUCCCCCGCCGAAAGUCCAAGGGUUCCUGCUUAAAGCUAAUCUGAGCAGGGUUAGCCGGCCCCUAAGUCGAGGCAGAAAUGCGUAGACGAUGGGAACCACGUUAAUAUUCGUGGGCCUGGAGGAAGUGACGGAUCAUUGAGGUAGUCCAAUCUUAUCGGAUUGAACGGGCUGCUGCGUGGUUCCAGGAAAUAGCUCCUCCUUAUAGACCGUACCCGAAACCGACACUGGUGGACUGGUAGAGUAUACCAAGGCGCUUGAGAGAACUAUGCUGAAGGAACUCGGCAAAUUGCACGCGUAACUUCGGAAGAAGCGUGACCCUUUUCCACGCAAGUGGAGGAGGGUGGCACAGACCAGGGGGUAGCGACUGUUUAUCAAAAACACAGGGCUCUGCGAAGUCGCAAGACGACGUAUAGGGUCUGACGCCUGCCCGGUGCUGGAAGGUUAAGAGGAGGGGUGCAAGCUCUGAAUCGAAGCCCCAGUAAACGGCGGCCGUAACUAUAACGGUCCUAAGGUAGCGAAAUUCCUUGUCGGGU
rnacentral:rRNA from 1 species